rnacentral:tRNA from 5 species
GACCCCUUCGUCUAGCGGUUAGGACUCCACCCUUUCACGGUGGCAACGCGGGUUCGAGUCCCGCAGGGGUCGCCA